rnacentral:rRNA from 1 species
GAUGAACGCUGGCGGCGUGCCUAAUACAUGCAAGUCGAGCGAACGGACUUGAAGCUUGCUUCUCUUAUGUUAGCGGCGGACGGGUGAGUAACACGUGGAUAACCUACCUAUAAGACUGGGAUAACUUCUGGAAACCGUAGCUAAUACCGCAUAAUAUUUUUAACCGCAUGUUUCAAGAUUGAAAGAUGCUCUUGCUUUCCCUUAUAGAUGUAUCCCCUCUGCUUUAGCUAUUUGUUAAGGUAACGGCUUACCAAGCCAACGAUGAAUACCCGACUUGGGAGGGGGAUCGGCAACACGGGAAAGGAGAAACGGUCCAGACUCCAACGGGAGGCAGCAGAAGGGAAUCUUCGGCAAAGGGCGAAGGCCUGCCGGAGAAAGGCCGCGUGAGUGAGGAAGGUCUUCGGAUCGAAAAACUCGGUGAUAAAGGAAGAACAUAUGUGGAAGGAAAAGUGCACAAAGUGACGGUAACUAAUCAGAAAGCCACGGCUAACUACGUG